rnacentral:rRNA from 1 species
GAUUGAGGGGGGCUGCUCCUAGUACGAGAGGACCGGAGUGGACGCAUCACUGGUGUUCGGGUUGUCAUGCCAAUGGCACUGCCCGGUAGCUAAAUGCGGAAAAGAUAAGUGCUGAAAGCAUCUAAGCACGAAACUUGCCCCGAGAUGAGUCUUCCCUGAGACUUUGAGUCUCCUGAAGGAACGUUAAAGACGAUGACGUUGAUAGGCCGGGUGUGUAAGCGCAGCGAUGCGUUGAGCUAACCGGUACUAAUGAACCGUGAGGCUUAACCUU